rnacentral:rRNA from 1 species
GAUGAACGCUAGCGGCAGGCCUAACACAUGCAAGUCGAGGGGCAGCACAUAAAGUGGUUUACUACUUUUGGUGGCGACCGGCGGACGAGUGCGUAACGCGUAUGCAACCUGCCUCCAACAGGGGGAUAACGGAGAGAAAUUUCCACUAAUACCCCAUAAUAUCAGAAUCGGCAUCGGUUUUGGUUGAAAACUCCGGUGGUUGGAGAUGGGCAUGCGUUGUAUUAGAUAGUUGGUGAGGUAACGGCUCACCAAGUCAACGAUACAUAGGGGGACUGAGAGGUUAGCCCCCCACACUGGUACUGAGACACGGACCAGACUCCACGGGAGGCAGCAGUGAGGAAUAUUGGUCAAUGGGGGCAACCCUGAACCAGCCAUGCCGCGUGCAGGAAGACGGCUCUAUGAGUUGUAAACUGCUUUUACAAGGGGAUAAAUCGGUGUACGUGUACACCGUUGAAGGUACCUUGGGAAUAAGGAUCGGCUAUCUCCGUGCCAGCAGCCGCAGUAA